UGGUCAGCUGUCAUCACUAGGUCAUUACACCGCAAGUCUCAUUAACAUGGUCAGCUGUCAUGACUAGGUCAUUACACCGCAUGCCUCAUUAACAUGGUCAGCUGUCAUGACUAGGUCAUUACACCGCAUGCCUCAUUAACAUGGUCAGCUGUCAUGACUAGGUCAUUACACCGCAUGCCUCAUUAACAUGGUCAGCUGUCAUGACUAGGUCAUUACACCGCAUGCCUCAUUAACAUGGUCAGCUGUCAUGACUAGGUCAUUACACCGCAUGCCUCAUUAACAUGGUCAGCUGUCAUGACUAGGUCAUUACACCGCAUGCCUCAUUAACAUGGUCAGCUGUCAUGACUAGGUCAUUACACCGCAUGCCUCAUUAACAUGGUCAGCUGUCAUGACUAGGUCAUUACACCGCAUGCCUCAUUAACAUGGUCAGCUGUCAUGACUAGGUCAUUACACCGCAUGCCUCAUUAACAUGGUCAGCUGUCAUGACUAGGUCAUUACACCGCAUGCCUCAUUAACAUGGUCAGCUGUCAUGACUAGGUCAUUACACCGCAUGCCUCAUUAACAUGGUCAGCUGUCAUGACUAGGUCAUUACACCGCAU